UACGUAGGGUGCGAGCGUUGUCCGGAAUUAUUGGGCGUAAAGAGCUCGUAGGCGGUGUGUCACGUCGAUCGUGAAAACUUUCAGCUUAACUGGGAGCUUGCGGUCGAUACGGGCAUCACUGGAGUUCGGCAGGGGAGACUGGAAUUCAAGGUGUAGCGGUGAAAUGCGCAGAUAUCUUGAGGAACACCGGUGGCGAAGGCGGGUCUCUGGGCCGAUACUGACGCUGAGGAGCGAAAGCGUGGGAGCGAACAGG
rnacentral:rRNA from 1 species